CCUACGGGGGGCUGCAGUGGGGAAUAUUGCACAAUGGGCGCAAGCCUGAUGCAGCCAUGCCGCGUGUGUGAAGAAGGCCUUCGGGUUGUAAAGCACUUUCAGCGGAGAGGAAGGCGGUGAGGUUAAUAACCUCAUCGAUUGACGUUACCCGCAGAAGAAGCACCGGCUAACUCCGUGCCAGCAGCCGCGGUAAUACGGAGGGUGCAAGCGUUAAUCGGAAUUACUGGGCGUAAAGCGCACGCAGGCGGUCUGUCAAGUCGGAUGUGAAAUCCCCGGGCUCAACCUGGGAACUGCAUUCGAAACUGGCAGGCUAGAGUCUUGUAGAGGGGGGUAGAAUUCCAGGUGUAGCGGUGAAAUGCGUAGAGAUCUGGAGGAAUACCGGUGGCGAAGGCGGCCCCCUGGACAAAGACUGACGCUCAGGUGCGAAAGCGUGGGGAGCAAACAGGAUUAGAUACCCUUGUAGUC
rnacentral:rRNA from 1 species